AUGCCUGGUAGGCCUAGGAAGAAUGACAGGAAGAGGGAAGAGGGAGAAGCACCAAAAGGCAAGAAAAUGUCAAAGCAUGGCACUAAAAUUACUUGCAGCAUGUGUGGCCACAAGGGUCACAACAAGACAGGUUGCAAAAAAAAUCUUGAAAAAGGGCAGAAGAAAAAUGCAUUCCUGAAGAAAACAAGGAAGAAAAAAAAUGAGCAAGCAAACACUGAUACUCAGAUGAGAGCAAGUCAACAGGCCAAGAGCAAAGGAAAAGAUCAAGCAGAAGCAGGACCAAGUGGAGGGAAGAGGUGUUGGAAAUAUGUCCUAGAGGCAAUAAUAAAUUAG
rnacentral:rRNA from 1 species